CUUGUUCUUGGUAAGUUUUGCUUUAUAAAUAAUUCCUGUAUGAUUCAUGAACUGAUUUUAAAUUAUGCAGAUUACAAAGAUGGGGUAACCCCAAACAAAAAGUAUCGGAAAAAAAACCACCUCUCCAUUAUCAAACAAUGGAUGCCAUAAACAACCAGAAGAGAAACUUGAUGGUCGAACAACAUCUGAUGUGAACAGUGCUGAAGUCACUCUUGCUGGAGAGAAUGGUCUGGAACACACAACCCAAGGAACAAGAGAUCCCGUUUCUGCCUAAGACUGUUAUCUGGUAAAGGUAAUAUGUGUUACUUGUGUGAACAUCUCGAAAAGAUUCACUUGGACAUUGGAGUAUAUGUCAAGGCAAACAGUAAUUGAAAGAAUGUCCGCAAGAAAGAAGAAAAUUUAAAUGAAAUCAAAAGUGCUGAAACAAAAAAUUCAACGGAAAGAACUUGUUGUCAAGAAUCUUCGACUAGCAAUUAAAAAUGUCAGGAAAAAUGUCACUGCUGCUUGCGAAAAGGCAAUAAGUAAUCAGUUUCUUGGGCUUAACGACCAGGUAUAUCAUGCUCCCAAUUACUAUUCCCCUCUAUGACGAGUACGUUUGUUAGAUUCCAAAAUUUUAACUAUUUUUCUACCAAUGACCAAUAAUAACGACAACACUACUUAUUUUUUUAAAUUUCUUUGAUUGAAAUCAAUAAAUUGUAAUUGAUUUUACGUUAUUACAAA
rnacentral:lncRNA from 1 species